UUGUGUGUGUGUGUGUGUGUGUAGGGUGGGUUUCGUACAUAUUUCCAAGAGGUUGUAAACCUGUUGUUAACUAGACAGCACAGCUUUUGUUUGGUAUUUCUGAAAAUGAAUCAUCUCACUUCUCACACUUGGCUAGACCAUCAGGGUAGCUGGCUGAGUGUUUGAGAACAGAUCAAAGUAUUAAUGAAGUAUAUGUUAGAGUUGUGGAAAGGAAGUAA